GAUAGAAAGACAGGAAAGGGAGAGAGAGAGGGGAUGACAUGCAGCGAAGGGCCCAGGCCGGAUUCAAACCCAGGCCGCUGCAGUAAGGACUCAGCUUUGCUAUGUGGUACUCGCUUUACCAGUAACAUCUGGACUGCUUCCAUGUUUUUCCCACCAUAUUUCUCAAGUCCUCCCUUGACAGGCACGUCGAUUAACACAUCCAGGCAGGACACAGGCAGGAUAAAAUCAUCGGUUUCUGAGAUGGAGCUGCCAAAGGGUCUGGAGGGGUUGAAGAGGUCAAAGUCUAAAAAAUGAGGUUUAAGUAGUAAAGAGGAUGAUUAAUAGAUGAAAGCUUUGGAACAACGGCUUUUGAAAAGAUGAAAGACUUAGAGCAGUUUGCCUAAGAAGAGCUGUUCCAAAGUCAAGGACCCCUGAUGGCAAAGGACCAGUCACCUCUUGUUUUUAAUCUACAUUUUGGAACAGCUGAUGGGGAGCUGCCAGAUGACCUCAGGGUGCGGUCUGGCUCACAUGGGGUAAAAAGGGCUUUCACAAAUACAUUUCCUAACACACAUCUGUGCCACAUUGUUAAAUGUACACAAUCCUAUGUUGUCCAAAUAGCAACUUAAGCGACAUAAAGUUUUAUAUUGAGAGUGGUAGAAAGAUAUUAGGCUUCAUGUCCACUUUAGAAAUUGUGCUCCGUACACAAUCCAUAGCUGCUAUGUUUGGUACAAGCUGAACAAGAUGGGAAUCCUUCAAUAAAACAGAAAAUCAGAGUACUAAGCGAAGAUUGCAGGAUUUUUGAGCCAAAGUAGUUCUGAUUUCCCCUCCAAACAUUUGGAGGAGAAAUGUGGCCUGGUUUGUCUCUCUAUACGUGGAUUUGUGGGCAGUUUAUAGAAAUAUCUACCUUCCUAACUGCUGGUAGAUUCAUCAAGGCCACUGAGAUUACCCGAAAGUUGUGAAAUUUAUAUUUUUCCAGUCUAGAGAUAUAUUUUAUACUGUUACAGAGGGCCCGCAUUAGCUAGUAAGAGACAAUUGGUAAUAUUGAGUACUAGAGUGAAUAAAAAGAAAAAAAAAAAUCAAAACAGCCUAAAGUUGGAAAUAUUUUGACCAAAUAAGUUUGACUAACCCUAAUUAACUCAACAUAUGUAUUUAUGUAACAAA